CUCUAAAUACUCAACGAUUUCAGCUAGUUCUUCAUCACUGCGUUCUAAAAUGUUAUCCCCUGCUUUUGUGAGCACAACCCCUAGAAACUCUCCCCUGACAUGAAUUGACUUCAACCACUCAGCCCGGCCUGUAAUGGACUCUAGAUUUCCUCUGGACAAGCAUAUGAGCUUCGCAAUCUUAGGAUAUGGCAACCCAUUGUGUUUCAGCCACCUGAUAAGUGGGACAACGUUCAAGUCCUCAAUAACAGUCUUAGCUCUAAUAUUGAAACUCG
rnacentral:misc_RNA from 1 species